rnacentral:lncRNA from 1 species
CUUGGACAUGGCUUUACCGAGAAAUAAAUGAAUUAAUAAGCAUAAACUCUAGGCCAUACUUAGGUCAAAAUAAGUGAAGUUACAGUGAGCUCCUCAGAUUCUUCUAGAAAGUAAACAACCCAUCAAUCUUUAAUACUAAGUCAUCUGAAUAUGAACUAGCAUCCUAAAAGUGAAAAGCUCUAAUGGUACAUUACAAAUUCCUGAGUCAUUUUGUCCUCACAACUUUAUGCUUUAAAUAAAACUGGCUAAAGAAAAUCUACAAGUGACUCAGUAUGACUUAGUGUUUCCAAACCAGGAAAAGGAAGGACUUUCAGUGUUUGAGAUAAGGUUUUUUUCUGUAGUUUGGAAAAUAAACAUUUCCUAUUCAGUUAUGCCCAGGGGCAGGGUGUGUGUGUGUAUGUGUGUAUGUGUGUGUGUGUAGGGGAAGGAGUGUCUGUGUGAGUAUGAAAAGAGAAGAAGAGCAGGAACGAGGGAGUAAGACAGGGAAGGAGAGAGGGAGAAGGGAGAGAAAGAGAGGGAAAAGGAGAAAAAGAGAUUUUUUUAAUCAGUAUUUGGUGUUCACGUAAAAUGGUUACUUUCUGCAAAAGUUACCUCAGCAAAUUAUGUGUAAGCAAGCCAUGGAAGCACUGCAAUUUGUAAUAAAAUCAAUGGGAAUGGCUUACCUGACUGUAUAUAGUAGAUAAUCCUUAUCUAUGGGGAAUACAUUCCAAGACCCCCAGAGGAUGCCUGAAACCAUGGACAGUAACAACCCCUAAAUAUACUAUUAUUUUUCCUAUACAUACCUACAAUAAAGUUUAAUUUAUAAAUUAGGCACAGUAAGUGAUUAACAACAAUAACUAUAAUAAAACAGAACAAUUAUACUGUAAUAAAAGUUAUGUGAAUAUGGUCUCUCUCUUGGUUUCUCUGUCUCAAAAUAUCUUAUCGUGUUGUACCAUGGGUAACUGAAACUGCAGAAAGUGAAAUUGCAGAUAAGGGGGGAUUACUGUAUUGCAUUCUGUACUGCAUUUCCAUGAAUUCAGUGACACACAGUGAUGUAUUCCAUGUCGUUAUAGCAAAUAAUAAUCUUAGGUGUCUAAAUUAGACUGAAUUUUUUAUUUCAAUAGGCAUAAGCCAUUUUCUGCACCUAAAUGAAAGUAGCAUUUUUUUUCCUGAUAUAAAAAUGGGCAGAUUUUUGUCCUGGUGUCAUGCUAAUAUAACCCCAGAGGUGGCAAGCAUAGUGGCUCAAGCCAGUAAUCCCAGGACUUUGGGAGGCUGAGACAGGAGGAUCACUUGAAGCCAGGAGUUUGAGAUAACCCCAGAAUUAUCUACUUUAUUUAAAGUACAUUUUAGCUGGGCAGUGGUGUGCAUCUGUAGUCCCAGAUACUUGGGAAAGUAAGGCAGAAGGAUCGCUUGAACCCAGAAGUUUGAGACCAGGCAGGACAACACAGAUUCAGUCUCUAAAUAAAUAAAAUACCUAAGAACACUCAGAGUGGCUGAAAAUGUGUUCAGCAAAAUCUGUUCCACUAAUGUCCCUAAUAACGUCAGUAGAGACUAGGGAUUAAUGAGACUACCAAUAAACACACAUACACACACAUGAACAUACACACAAUGUUUACUAUCUUGUUUUCUGUUAUAAGGAUUGCUAAAUAUUUUUGUAUGAUAUAGACAGUUACAAUUUAUAUUUUUUAGAGAAUUCAUAGAAAUAAUCCUUAAAAUAUUUAGAGAUUGGUACUCCUUUGACAGAUAAAUAAAUGCAAAAGUGAAAAUUAUUUCAAACCAAUAGCACAUAUAUCCCAUGAUAUCCACAAUGGUUUUAUUUUAUCCAUCACUUGAAAGUAAAA